rnacentral:lncRNA from 1 species
UAAGACCGAACUAACUUCGUCAGUUUUUAGAAUUCAUAUUUGUAAAGUUUGUCAGCUUGUGUUUUAAUUUUUCCAUAUUAGUUUUUUUGUAGUCCUAAGUUAUGAAUUAGCUACAUAUUUGCGCUGCACCUUUAGAUCCUGCUUGAGAUAAAGGAUAACAUUUGCAGCAAAAAUGGUCAGGACUAGUUCUUUUUUCAAAGGCCCGAUAUGUCAAAUUUUCAUAAAUCAGUGGCGGUGAUGAUGGACCUUUGCACACUCUAGUAACACGUAGAUCCACCUUUUCUAAAAGCUGAAUGUGUUAAAGAGAGGAGUUUAAAUUGUUUACAUUUAUAAUUUUGAACAAGGAUUGCUCGAUUUUUCCUGCUUUUAACACAGUUCUGGUAUGAAAUCGAUGCCUUCUGUCCACACCCUGGCUGGAACAACUACACAUAUAUUUUCCUCACUAAUGUAACUUAAUGAUUUGUGUUAUUUGGAUCUUGUCCUGACUUCAUUUUUUCAACAUAUCAUCUUUAUUAUCCUGUUUGAUCAUCAGGAUUCUGCAAAUGAAAUUUCAGCAGAGCUGCAUGGUGCCCCGGACCUAAUUAUAGGCAAUUACAGUGACGGGAAUCUUGUUGCAUCCCUUUUAGCUUAUAAGAUGGGGGUCACACAGGUGAAUAUUGAAGUUUUUUUCUGCCAUAAUUGAUUGCAUGAAAUAAUUUCCUGAUAAUUACUUUUUCCUUUCCUGAUUCAGUGCACCAUUGCACACGCCUUGGAGAAAACAAAGUACCCAGAUUCUGACAUAUAUUGGAAAAAAUUUGAGGACAAAUACCAUUUUUCAUGUCAAUUAGAAUCUCCAAAUAAGUUACCAUUUUUAGUAAAUUGCAAAUUAGGAAGCAUUGGAACAUUGCUUGGCUGAGGUCCCAACUUUCUUGUCUUAGUUAAUAAGUCAGUCACAUAUUUUCUCUGAGAUAAGAAGCCUUUCUUCUUGUCACCUUAACUCUCAAGAAAUACUUCAACACUCCUAAAUCUUUUGUGAUAAAUUGGGCGUGAAGAAAGGACUUAUUACUGCCAGUAAUAACAAUAUCAUCAACAUACACAACAAGAAAAUAAUGUCGUAUUCGGACUGUUUGUAGAAGACUGAGUGGUCAGACUUGCUCUUUUGCAUUUCAAACUUUUCUACUACCUAACUAAAUUUUCCAAACCAAGCACUUGGAUUCUGUUUCAAAUCAUAUAAAGACUUUCGAAGAUGACACUGUCCCAUACUUUCCUUGAGCAACAAAUUCAGGUGUUGGUUCCAUAUAAACUUCCUCCUGAAGAUCACCAUGUAAGAAAGCAUUUCUGAUGUCUAAUUGAUGUAAAUGCCAAUUAUAAGUAGCUGCCGUAGAAAUAAAUAAGCGAACAGAUGUUAAUUUAGCUACAGGAGAGAACGUGUUAGAAUAAUCCACACCAUAAGUCUGAGCAUUGCCUUUAGCCACAAGACGAGCUUUAAGCCUAGCUACUGAUUUAUUAGGAUUGAAUUUAACUGCAAACAUCCACUUACAUCCCAAGUACCAUUGGCAUCUACAACAUAUCUCCUCUAUCAUAGCAUCACGCUAACUAGUAUGAGAUAAGGCUUCAUGAACAGUUUUAAGAAUCACAGAGUCUAUAAAGGCAACAAAAGAACAAGAAGAAGAGGACAAGUGAUUAUAAAAAACAAAUGAUGAAAUAAGAUAAGUGCACUGCUGUUUACUUUUACGAAGAGCGAUAGGUAGAUCAAGAUCACUAGACACUGGAUCCAAUGCCGAAGAUGAGUUUGGUGCCGAACAUGCAUCAGGAGGGUUUCGUCGUAUGGAAUUCACCUGGUGAAUAGGUGAUGGUGGUGUGGGAGUAACAGGUGUAGAAGCAACAUUAUUUGACUGGUGACAUGAUAAAUCAGCAAAUCAUCAUCCUCCCCCUUACUGGAAGAAAUAUAAGUAGGAAAGAAAGGAAUAUAUUCUAGAAAUGUGACAUCAACUGACACAAGAUACUUGUUAAGACUCGGACAGUAGUAUCGGUACCCUUUUUGUUGACCCAGAAACACACUUUUUAAUGAUUUGGGAUCCAAUUUAGUUACAUGAGGAUGAACAUCACGAGCACAGCAAGUACUAUCAGAUAUUCUAGAUUCAAUGGAAAACAAAGGUUUAGUAGGGAAAAGGUAAGGAGUCUCGCCAAGAAGAACAAAUGAAGGCAUGCGAUUAAUCAAGAAAUAGGCUGUGGAGAGUGCAUUAGCCCAAAAUUGUUUAGGAAUAUGCAUUUGGAAGAGGAUUGCCUUGGCUGUUGCAAGGAGAUUUCUAUUUUUUCUUUCAGUCACACCAUUUUGUGAGGGUGUGUCAACACACGAAAAUUGAUGAGGAAUACCAUUUUGUAGCAUGUAAGACUGGAAAGAAUCGAAAAAAUAUUCUUUGGCAUUAUCACUUCUCAAUGUAGGUACCGAAACAUUAAGAUGUGUUUUAAUUUAAGCACAAAAGGUACUAAAAUGAGAAAAUAAUUUGGAACGAUUCUUCAUUAAAUAAAGUCAAGUCACACGAAAAAAUAUCAACAAAGGUAACAAAAUACCGAAAUUCAGUUUUGGACACAACAAGACAAGGACUCCAAACAUCUGAAUAAACUAGCUCAAAAGGAAAACUAGCUCUUUUAUUAAUUCGAGGAAUUGAGGACAGACGAUGUUUCGCAAAUCGACAUGACGCACAAUUUAAAGACGAUGCAUUCUGAAACUGAGGGCAUAAUUUCAUCAAUAACAAUAAAGAUGGAUGUUCCAAUCGACAAUGUGCUUCAAAAGGAGUUUUGAUACAAUGGACUUGGGCACCUAGGUAUCCAGAGUAUAGAGACAGAGACCGUCUGGUUCAUGUCGUUUACAAAUAAUUUUCUUCGUCAUAUGAUCCUGAAAACGACAGUAAUCAGGAAAAAAAUGAGAGACAACAGUUUAAGGUUCGAGUAAAUUUGCUCACAGACAUUAAAUUGAAAGAAAAUUGUAGUAGACUUAAUACAGAGGAUGAAAUUAACGAAGUUGGAUUAAUAGUGCCAGAACUGAGAACAAAAGAUGUAGAACCAUCAGCUAAAGUAACAUUGGAAGGACAUAGAUGCGACUGAAAAGUGGAGAAGAGAUUAGGAUGACCUGCUAUAUGAUUUGUGGCAACAUAAUCAAUGACCAAUUUUGAGGAAGAUGAGAGAAGACAUGUAUUAGGUUUAUCUGUCUCAGCAAGAGCAGAGAUACGGUGAGAUGAAUUAUUCAAUGCUUCUUGGUACUGAGUGAAUUUGGCAAAUUCAUCUAUAGAAACUAUAAUGGUCUGCCCAUAAGAUGAGAUGGGUAUAGCAGUAGUAGCUGCGAUAUGAGCAGAGUGAGACUUAUUGUACAAUUUUCGACACGAGUAUUUGGUAUGACCCGGCUCAUGAUAGUAGUAGCAUACAACUCUCCCUUCAUUCGGACUUUGAUUGACUCGACUACCUGUAUCCCCGCCUCUUGUAUUACCUUUACCACUGCGACUAAUAAGAGCACUAGAAGGCUGAACAGAUGAAGCAACAGAAGUACUAAUAUAUGUGUGAAGUGCUCUAGUAAAAGUUUCUUGCAAAGAUGAAAUCUCAACAUUGGAAAGAAUUUGGGAUUUAGCGGUUUCAAACUGAGGACUAAGGCCAGCUAGAAAACUCAUCACAACCAUUUGCUCCGGCUAAGCUUGGUGAACUUUCACAUCCGGACUAAAAGGUAACAAGACAUUCAAUUCUUCAUAGAUUUUUUUGAAAUUCAUAAAAUAAGCCUUGAGUGACUGUUGUUCAGCACGGUAAAAGCCCUUACAAAUUUCAUCAAUACGUGACAUUCCCUUUCUAGAGUACAUAAAUUCUAAAUAUUUCAUUAAUUCCUUAGCAUACUCACAAUGAUUAAUCAGACCGAUUAUCUCAGUGUCAAUGGAAUCACGGAUUUGUAAGAAUAAUCUGGCAUCAUCUCGUAGCCAUGUCUGGCUAUUAUUAUCCUUUUGUGGAUCUUUAAUAAGACGAUUGUCCAUAGAGAUACUCCGUAAAAAAAUUCGAACUGCCUUGCAUCAAUCUAAGUAAUUUGGACCAACCAACUUAUGCUCUGUAAUUUUAGACAUUACUGGAAUGACAUCAAUCACAACUAAAUUCUUUUCCUUGUCAUCCAUAGAAAAAAACACAAGAUCCAAAUAACAAAUUAAAAGAAACCAACAAAUAACGGGCCAAAUCAAUAGGCCCAAAAGAAACCACUACCUGAAAUCACGACCCUUCAAAUCCACAGAAGCCCAAAUCACCACACUAAUCACCAAUUGCCAACAACAAGAGAAACCCCGGCACCAAAUUUAUUAGGAUUCUAUAUUAGGUAAUUAUAUAAACUAGGAAUCUAUAUAAUUAAUCCCUAUAAUUAGGCCUUGCCUUAUUUAUAUCCCGUAACAACCAAAUACAUGUAAAUAUGGAAACAUAAUCUCCUAAAUUAGGAGAGCCAAUAAUUCUAUCUAACUAUGGAAAUAAUUAAAUAAGGCACAUCAAUCAUUCUAAAAUAAUCCCGAAUUGAUCAAUCAGUUUUCUACAGAAAUCAGUGAUGAAAGAUGGAACACCUCUUCAAAAACAUUUGAAAUGUAUCUUUCAUUGUUUGUUUGGUUUGUAAAUUUGAAUGUGAAAUGUCAUGAAAAAAUUGGUGUUUCUCUAACCAGUAAUGUAGCAUAAAGAACUAACAAGAUUUCUCCUUUUGCUUUUAUGCAGAUUGUAUACAUUCUAGAUCAAGUGCGUGCCUUGGAGAAUGAGAUGACCAUGAGAAUCAAGCAGCAAGGACUGGACAUUACUCCUAGAAUUCUUAUUGUAUACUUGAGAAACUUUAUAUUUGAUUUUUGUUAAUACUCAUAAAUAGGAUAAAAAUAGGAUAUUUUGUUUGGUAAUGUAGCCUUUUUUCCUGUUACUGUAAACAUGUUUUUCUGUGAUUCUGCAAGGUUACUCGAUUAAUCCCUGAUGCAAAAGGCACCACAUGCAACCAGAGGUUGGAAAGAGUUGGCGGGUGUAAAUACACACAUAUUCUGCGCAUUCCUUUUAGAACUGAGCUUGGAAUUCUCCGUAAAUGGAUUUCAAGGUUUGAUGUAUGGCCUUACUUGGAAAAAUUUGCAGAGGUAAGACCGAACUAACUUCGUCAGUUUUUAGAAUUCAUAUUUGUAAAGUUUGUCAGCUUGUGUUUUAAUUUUUCCAUAUUAGUUUUUUUGUAGUCCUAAGUUAUGAAUUAGCUACAUAUUUGCGCUGCACCUUUAGAUCCUGCUUGAGAUAAAGGAUAACAUUUGCAGCAAAAAUGGUCAGGACUAGUUCUUUUUUCAAAGGCCCGAUAUGUCAAAUUUUCAUAAAUCAGUGGCGGUGAUGAUGGACCUUUGCACACUCUAGUAACACGUAGAUCCACCUUUUCUAAAAGCUGAAUGUGUUAAAGAGAGGAGUUUAAAUUGUUUACAUUUAUAAUUUUGAACAAGGAUUGCUCGAUUUUUCCUGCUUUUAACACAGUUCUGGUAUGAAAUCGAUGCCUUCUGUCCACACCCUGGCUGGAACAACUACACAUAUAUUUUCCUCACUAAUGUAACUUAAUGAUUUGUGUUAUUUGGAUCUUGUCCUGACUUCAUUUUUUCAACAUAUCAUCUUUAUUAUCCUGUUUGAUCAUCAGGAUUCUGCAAAUGAAAUUUCAGCAGAGCUGCAUGGUGCCCCGGACCUAAUUAUAGGCAAUUACAGUGACGGGAAUCUUGUUGCAUCCCUUUUAGCUUAUAAGAUGGGGGUCACACAGGUGAAUAUUGAAGUUUUUUUCUGC